UACGAGUGCCCCAAGCGUUAUCCGGAAUUAUUGGGCGUAAAGGGUGUGUAGGCGGUCUAGUUAGUCUCAUGUCAAAUUCUUCGGCUUAACCGGGGUACCGCAUGGGAAACGGCUAGACUAGAGGAUGCGAGGGGUCUGUGGAACUCAUGGAGUAGGGGUGAAAUCCGUUGAUAUCAUGGGGAACACCGAAAGCGAAGGCAGCAGACUGGCGCACUCCUGACGCUGAAACACGAAAGCCAGGGGAGCAAACGGG
rnacentral:rRNA from 1 species